UCCACCAGUCUAGUACACUGAAGGGGCCCCCAAAAUGAAUGGCCUGGCAGGUUCAACACACGCACUGUGCUUCAUUUAUUUCAAGGCCCCCUGUGGGGUACAGAACCCCCCAUUCUCAUGAUCAGUGGGGGUCCUACCUCUGAUCUAACAGUUACUUUUGAUCCUGUGGAUAUGGGAUAACCUGAAAUUACCUUAAAGUGUUAUCGUGGCCCUUGGGAGUGUCAUAAUCUGAUGCGCCCACUGGGCACCUCUGGUGUAAACUAUGAUUUUGGAGAAGCCCAGGGUAUCCGGUCUACAGAUCCCAUUCCAGCAAUCAUCUGGGGGUAAAUGGGCACUUCAGCAGAGCAGCCCAUCAAUAACUGGUGCACGAUCCUUUGAAUCCAGGGGUGAUGGGAGACAUGAGGGGGUGGAUCUCCUUCCUGUAGGCUUGUGGGUGCACCUGUCACCCCCUGCCCUAUACAAUAUACAGGGGAUCUGUGCACAGAGCGGAAAUCAUGAGGCUGCAUAUAGCAGGCAGGUCCAGCAAUGAGGUCAUCCAAUCCUGCAGGGCUACCACAAGGUGACCGGGUGACACAGAUCCAGCAUUGCCCCCGUAGUAAUUAGUCGCAGCUCAGCACCCGCCUCCCCGGACAUACCUGCUCCGGCACCGUCAGAGCCGGUACAGCCCGCGGCGCACGGCGAUGAAAAGUAAAGAUAAUCAAGACCAGAUGGCAAAGCUGCAGAGACCAAUUUAGGCGUGAGCUGAACGAGAAAUCAAAAAGUGGUGAUGCACCUCUAUCCAAUUAGCCAUACCUUUAUACUCAGCAGCUCCAAUUCCUAAAAGUUAUUAUGGAUAUGCGUCCGACUGUUGACAAUCUGAUGGAUGAGGAAGAGGCACAACCUGGGGCUUCUGACAAUCCUGAAAGACCUAUAGAAACAUCGAUGUCACAGCCUCAAACUUCGACCAACGAAGAAGCAGGACCAUCUAUGCAGGUGGAAGUUUCUACAUCACCGCAUGUAAACCCACGCAGUGCUAGACCAAAGAAGAGCCAAAGUCAGCCUACUUCUGUGUCAAUUACACGGGAAAUAAUAGAUGCUCAGGUCCUGGAGUACUUGAAUAAAACCAGAGAUGAAACUCCAGAAGACGGCAUGAUGAAGAGCCUGGGCAAUUUUUUUUCAGCUGGGUUCCACGAGAACGUCAACCCCAUUGUAUGUGUUCUAUGAACUUAUUGUUGGAGUUAUACAUGGGUGAAAAUGACCCCUCAGAAGUCCACGAAUAUCUGGAGCAGGCACUAUCUCGGCUUAUCCAGAAAACACAUUUGAGCCAAGCGACCUCAAUGUCUACUAACUAUCCUCAUCCAACUAAUUAUCCAUAUCAAAAUCCGCCUCCAACUCGACAUGGCCAAGAAUAUUUUGCUCAUGAUCCGAGGCCUAAUUAUUCUGCCCAACGGCCACAUCAACCUGAGCAAGUGGAUGUUCGCCCACCAUCUAAUCCACCUACUGGAUCCUUCUCUCAGGAUCUUUACGAUCUUUAAUUAUAGUAAAAUUAAGUUUAAGUUUAAAAGUUUACUUGUUGUAAAUCUGAAAAGCUCUUGAUGUUAUUUUAA